rnacentral:lncRNA from 1 species
UUGAAAUCGUAAUGUAUUAUGGAACGGGAUGGAUCCGAGAAACGUAUUACGCUAAUCCUGGCCUGUUUUACGAUCACAUGCCUCGGUGGAUUUGGAAAACACCCAAGAAAACCAUUUCCAUCUUAUCUCUUUUUAUCCUUUCUCCCCGUGAACUCUCGAACAAGCAUCUACCAGGAGGAGGAUUCAAGAGGGUGAAGAAGCAAAGUCAAUUUCUGGGCGAGAUGCCACGAGGUUAAUGGGUCUAUGUCGUCAUAAAUUGGCGGUUCGGUGUGAAAGCUGCCUAAACCGAGUUUUACCUCUCGCUCUCUUCUACUUAUUUUCUUGUUUUAUUUUCUAGCAAACCCUCUUCCCCCUGUCUACCUACCUUCCACGAAACCACCGCAUCUUCUUGUCCCGUGCGAUCUUUGCUUCGGUAACAAACAGGAUACAGGUAGGAGUCUGGCACAAGCUCGUCGAACGAUUUAUUAUCCCGACCGUCUUACCUCGAGCUCCGGCCUGCUUAGCCGCUGUUUUUUCUCCUCGUAAAGGGUAGCGGGUAAGAGAGAACGCGUGGAAAGAAGAAGAGGAUCGUCAAAGAUCCGGAGGAAAAAGAAGAUAGAGCGAAGUUGGAACAAAGUAAGGUGGAUCCUUGCCAUUUCAUUGACCACGAGCAAUUGGCAGCGACAGCUAUUUGCUUGGGUCGUUCGUUCGCAAUAUACCUUCGUAUACUCUGCCGCAAAAGUGUCUUUUAGCGCAAACUUUCUGACCUUUUCUUCAAAGGAGAAGAAGAGAGAGAGAGACCGGAAAGUAUGAAACACGGAAAGAAAGAUUUUUCUACAUAACAGGGGUCGCGUUAAUUCCUCUUAGAACGAUGAACGAGUUUCGAGCAACAAACAAACGAUCAUCUUUCGACUUUCAAGGUGGUAGACGAUAAAAAAAAGGCGAAAAAAAAAAGGAACGCGUUUGUGUUCGGGGGAUUAAAGUUGGGAGCCGUGAAUGGAAACGUUUUUGUUUAAAAGGAAA